UCUCAAUCACAACCAUAUCACGACCACAUCAUAGUAUUACACAUCAUUUGUCUCAACAUCAAUGUCUGUAUCAAUCAUAGCCUACUCAUGCUCUUUUAUCCCCUUAAUAUCAGUUAUCACAUGACUUAUUCAACAAAUUCAAGUCACAUAUAACACAUUUAGCUCGUUUUAUUCCCCAUCUUUCAUUUACAACAAUUUCAAUCAACAAAUAAAACCCAUCCUCAAUCCCCAUUACUCCCCAACACA
rnacentral:lncRNA from 1 species